ACAAGGACGAAGAAACUAUUGGCAAAACUUCUCGCGGGUAUCGCAUGUCGAGACCACCGUCAAACUCACCCGCAACGAGCAUGCGAACCCAUAUACAUACUUGUGCAGCUGCUGGCGUAUCUUGGAUGCGGCGCGACACUUAUAGAGGCAAGCAAUGCUAAUUCAAACAAAGUUAUCGUUCGGUAGAUAUAUAUUUAAUUCUUUUCUCAUUUACAUACGAGUACGAUGGCAGCCUCACAAUGUGCCAUUGUCGAGGACCUCUGCUUGAAUGGGCAAGGACCAUCGAGACCGCGUUUCCAGUUAGGAUAUUAUUAGCUGCGGAACGUCUUCUUUCCGGACAUUUUGAAAAUCGCCGAAGAACAGUCGUCCCGCUGCGCUCAAGUUUACCUUUUUUCAUGGCAGACAAGAGGUCUCUUUUGUCGGUGAAUUGCACUUUGCUUUUUCGUUGGCACGAGCUGUUAAAUGGUUCCGGAUAUCUUCGGAGAAAGCUACUGAAUUUGCGUCGGGUCUUGUUAUACCCGACAAUGGCUGCAAUCAUCGUGUCUGUGACGCGGAUUAUGAGCAUAAAGUGGGUUCAGAAAGGAAGAGUGCCAUUUUGUAACUGAGAACGAGGAAUUUGCGAAGAAUAAGGAUACAGCGUUUACAUUCUCCUUCUUCAUAAAUCUUCUCUCAGGACCUCACUCGAAGAUAUUUCCAAAUCAUAAUUGAACAAUUUUUAACGUUGAUGGAAAAUCCAUGAAAAUACAGUAUGCAUAUAUUUAAUAUGCAAAAUAUACAAACAAAAAUAUGAAAGUAGAGUAUCCGAAUAUUUAGAAGAUGAGACAAAUCUUUUUGUGUAUAAAGAUACCACUUUUUAGUUCACAAAAAUAUGAACUUAAUGUUUAUGCAAAUUCAUAUUUUUUACAAAUUAAAAAAGAAAGGUAUCUCUACAUAGACAUUUGUUUGUACAUAUUUGUUCCAUAUAUAAUAUAUAUAUUUUUUGUAAUAUUUCAUAGAAACUUUGAAAAUUACAAAUUACAAACUUCAAGUUGUAAAUUAUUAUCUAUUUCAACAUUUUAUUUACAUUGCAGAAACGUUCGAUCUUUCAUCGUAUCUCUGGAUUACGAACAAUCAAUUUGCAAGCUUCUAACAUUCGGAUAAAUAAUUUUGUUUCAUCUCUCUGUUAACUGAAAAUUAUUUAUCAGAAAGCCCCUAAGUAAAUAAGAUUUUCCAAAAAGCGAACGAAUGAGACGAAAAUUAGCGGGUCGGGUCACCAAGCUGUGCACGGUUGGUUCAUCUUCCAAAUUGCUCCUGUUCGUUC
rnacentral:misc_RNA from 1 species